AACGAACGCUGGCGGCAGGCUUAACACAUGCAAGUCGAGCGCCCCGCAAGGGGAGCGGCAGACGGGUGAGUAACGCGUGGGAAUCUACCCAUCUCUACGGAGUAACGCAUGGAAACGUGUGCUAAUACCGUAUACGUCCUUCGGGAGAAAGAUUUAUCGGAGAUGGAUGAGCCCGCGUUGGAUUAGCUAGUUGGUGGGGUAAAGGACUACCAAGGCGACGAUCCAUAGCUGGUCUGAGAGGAUGAUCAGCUACACUGGGACUGAGACACGGCCCCGACUCCUACGGGAGGAAGCAGUGGCGAAUAUUGGACACUGGGCGCAAGCCUGAUCCAGCCAUGCCGCGUGAGUGAUGAAGGCCCUAGGGUUGUAAAGCUCUUUCACCGGUGAAGAUAAUGACGGUAACCGGAGAAGAAGCCCCGGCUAACUUCGUGCCAGCCGCCGCAGUAACAC
rnacentral:rRNA from 1 species